CUUCCAAUUCUCUUUCACAUUCAAAUUUUCAUAGAGAAGAGCAAAAAUCAUCUCAGAAGCCUGUGGUAGCAGCUAGCCUUACAGAAAAACCACCUAGAAAACCAAAUCUAACUGUUCCUGAGGUAGCUGCUAGCCUUAGAAGGAUACCACCCAGCAGACCAAAUCCUACACAGAACAAGUUAAAGCCUAGGAUAAGAGGCUAAGCAGAGGAACUGAUACAAUGGAUUGACGCUAUACAUGAAGAUUCAAGCAGUGUCAUGAACUCUGUUGCUCUAGUUUUGUUUUUGUUUCACUUUCUUUUUAGUUUUUUACUGUUUCCCAGAUUCAAAUUCUUAGGUUUAUCAGUGAGAAUUUGGUAUAGUUCAUAUCAUGACUUUA